UGGGGAAUAUUGCACAAUGGGCGCAAGCCUGAUGCAGCCAUGCCGCGUGUGUGAAGAAGGCCUUCGGGUUGUAAAGCACUUUCAGCGGGGAGGAAGGCGAUAAGGUUAAUAACCUCAUCGAUUGACGUUACCCGCAGAAGAAGCACCGGCUAACUCCGUGCCAGCAGCCGCGGUAAUACGGAGGGUGCAAGCGUUAAUCGGAAUUACUGGGCGUAAAGCGCACGCAGGCGGUCUGUCAAGUCGGAUGUGAAAUCCCCGGGCUCAACCUGGGAACUGCAUUCGAAACUGGCAGGCUAGAGUCUUGUAGAGGGGGGUAGAAUUCCAGGUGUAGCGAUGAAAUGCGUAGAGAUCUGGAGGAAUACCGGUGGCGAAGGCGGCCCCCUGGACAAAGACUGACGCUCAGGUGCGAAAGCGGGGGGAGCAAACAGG
rnacentral:rRNA from 1 species